rnacentral:rRNA from 1 species
UACGGGGGGGCAAGCGUUGUUCGGAAUUACUGGGCGUAAAGGGCUCGUAGGGGGCCAACUAAGUCAGACGUGAAAUCCCUCAGCUUAACUGGGGAACUGCGUCUGAUACUGGAUGGCUUGAGUUUGGGAGAGGGAUGCGGAAUUCCAGGUGUAGCGGUGAAAUGCGUAGAUAUCUGGAGGAACACCGGUGGCGAAGGCGGCAUCCUGGACCAACACUGACACUGAGGAGCGAAAGCCAGGGGAGCAAACGGG